rnacentral:tRNA from 1 species
GCAUCUGCAGCUCAGUGGCAGAGCACUGGUCUUGUAAACCAGAGGUCGUGAGUUCAAUCCUCACAGGUGACA